UUAAGGCAUGGUAGCCUGGAGACUAGGGAGGGUGGCAACAGGUUAAUUGGAGCACCUGUAGUAAAUUAAGGCCCUGUCGGGAACCUAAUAAAACCCCUUGCUUCAGGCAGUCAGGGAGGAAGAGGAAGGAGAGAAGACUGGAACUUGGAGGUGUGUUUUGAAAAACCAGAGAACCAGAAAAACCAAGGAGACCCUGCCCCAGCAGGGGAGGGAGUCUCCCUGUCCCAGCCUCGAAGGACUGAAGGUACCCCACCCAGGGGGAAAGAGGGAACAAUGUAAACAACUCCCAUCUAUGGAAUGAGGAAUACACUUAAAGUGCAGAAAACAGCUGUUUUGUUUGAGUUACCUAAUAACAAGGGAAAAAAGAGAACACGGCUACCUCAUCAGCAUCAGCUCUAAAUCUUUUGGAUGCCUCCCACCCAGCUCCACUGUCAUUAGGAAGAAAAAUUUAAAAACUGCUCAGAUUGGAUGCAUCUCCAAAUGUUACCCAUCAGAGAUUUCCAUGGGAAAAAAAAUCCACUUAUGCCUCACGUGAUCAACUGAAGUGGUUAUACAACUGAAGAGGAGAAAACUGUGGAACCCAGAGACUGAAAUAAUGUAUUUUAUGGGAAGCAUGAAAGUUUGCAGAUUUGAUGGUCUUUCAACCAAAACAUCUUUCUUCCUAUAAGUCAAGAGAGCACCAAGGCAGGAGGGCUGCUGCCAUUCCAGCCUUGCGGGGUUUGCCCUCCACACACCCCAAAUGCCUGAGCCAGAUGAGGAGAAAGAAGAGGACUCAGGAUGACAUGUUCAGCAAGAUCCUGCAAGCCAGUGCUGCAUUAGCGCUGUGAACAGCGGGCUUGGAGGAUGAAUAUUGCAAAAUGUUUGGAGAGGGAAAGAGCAGACAGGAGAAAGGCCCAGGAGUUCAGAAGGAAAAGGAGAAGGAGAGGCCCCAGGACAAAAUGGAGCUUCUCUGGAGCAAACACAGAUGCUGCAGACUCUUGUGGACCUACAGAUUCAACAAUCCCGAGCUUGCCUCCCUUUGCAGUCCAUGGAGAACUCCAGUAUAGCACUUGCCAACACCUUUCCCCCAACAUUCCACAUGGCACCAGGGGCCAGCCUCCAUAUCCCUACCACUCCACACCAGGGGACAUUAAGGACAAUCUCAGCUUCACAUACACUGACCUGUGAGAGCCACAUGUAUGUGUAGCUAAAAUGUACAUGCAUGUUACUUUCCCUUCUUUAAGCUCUGUUACAAAAACGUAUUAAAGUUUUAAUGAACUUGCUUUA